GGCUAAGAAACGUUAAACGUAAUCAGUUUCGACCUGAGUCAAGAGGUCUAAGUCCUCCUUAGCCU
rnacentral:tRNA from 1 species